GUUUGUUUUUGCUCGAGGAAACCCAUAUCAAAACAUUUCUGAAGUCAAAAUCAAAAUAUUAGUCCAGGAGUAAUUGUUUAAAAUGCCUCAAAGGAGCAUUGGUGCUUAUUAACCUGAUCGAGUCAGUUAAG